rnacentral:lncRNA from 1 species
AAACUAUCAAGAUAUCAGAACAUGAUGCUAGGGAAGGUGAGGCUAGGACCAUGUUGAAGCUGGGAGAGCACAAGGAUGCCAAGGCCCAGAGAAUUACGAGCUGGGUGAGGGGUAAAGUCUUCCUCAAUAGCCCCCUAUCCUAGCUCAGUGCUGUAUCCACUACUCUGAGUUCCAUCCACCCUGGAGAUCUCAAAAGAAAGAGCAUAAACCUGACGGGAAGACAGGUGGUGUGGUUCAGAAGCUCAUCUCCCAUCAAAAUUCAGAAGGCAUUUCCCAGGACUCCCUGACGGUGGCAGUGUUGUUUACAAGUCAGUGACGAGUCCAAGAAAUUGGGCACCUGCUAGGGGAAUGAUUUAAGAAGCAUGGCUUUGUGCUACCAAACUGAGCAAGCAUAUGAUGAGGAAUGAGG